rnacentral:ncRNA from 1 species
GAGAGCACAGUACGAUGAAAGUUGUAAGCUGUGUUCGGGGGGGAGUUAUUGUCUAUCGUUGGCCUCUAUGGUAGAAUCAGUCGGGGGAUCUCAGAGGCGAUGGUUUACCUUGC